rnacentral:rRNA from 1 species
UCAGACGAUGCGUCAUGCAUAUCAAUAAGCGGAGGAAAAGAAACUAACAAGGAUUCCCCUAGUAACGGCGAGUGAAGCGGGAAGAGCUCAAAUUUGAAAUCUUAAAGGGUUUCCCUUUACGAAUUGUAGUUUAAAGAAGUGUUUUCUGUUGAGGUUUUGGUAAAAGUUCUUUGGAAUAGGACAUCAUAGAGGGUGAGAAUCCCGUAUUUGACCUUUACUUUCAACUUUGUGAUACACUUUCAAAGAGUCGGAUUGUUUGGGAAUGCAGUCCAAAAUGGGUGGUAAAUUUCAUCUAAAGCUAAAUAUUGGCGAGAGACCGAUAGCGAACAAGUACCGUGAGGGAAAGAUGAAAAGAACUUUGAAAGGAGAGUUAAACAGUACGUGAAAUUGUCAAAAGGGAAGCGUUUGACACCAGUGUUGUUUUUCUGAAAAUCAAUUAAAGAACUGUUUAUGCUAAGUUGUUUAGACUUUAUCAGCUAACUGUUUAGUUUUGAGCUUUUCUUUAAUGCACUUUUCAGUUAACAAGUCAACAUCAAUUUCUUUUGCUGUAAAAAAGCUUGAGGAAGGUGGCUUGAGAUUCGUCUUAAGUGUUUAUAGCCUCUUGCCUAUGCAGUCGGAGAGAUUGAGGUCUGCAGCGUAGAUCCUUCGGGGCUAAAUGCAUUUGUGCUAAGUUAUAGCAUUUUAUAGACAACUUGUUGACUAUGAUUUGUCUUGUAGCUUACUCGCUUAUGUUAUUUUACCUACGCUUAGGAUGUUGAAGAUGUAGCACAUCAU